UACGUAGGGGGCUAGCGUUGUCCGGAAUCAUUGGGCGUAAAGAGCGUGUAGGCGGUCCGAUAAGUCCGCUCUGAAAGUCCGGGGCUCAACCCCGGGAGGCGGGCGGAUACUGUCGGGCUAGAGUCCGGAAGAGGCAAGUGGAAUUCCUGGUGUAGCGGUGAAAUGCGCAGAUAUCAGGAGGAACACCGAUGGCGAAGGCAGCUUGCUGGGACGGUACUGACGCUGAGACGCGAAAGCGUGGGGAGCAAACAGG
rnacentral:rRNA from 1 species